AUUGAACGCUGGUGGCAUGCCUUACACAUGCAAGUCGAACGGCAGCACGGGUGCUUGCACCUGGUGGCGAGUGGCGAACGGGUGAGUAAUACAUCGGAACGUACCUUAUCGUGGGGGAUAACGCAGCGAAAGUUGCGCUAAUACCGCAUACGCCCUGAGGGGGAAAGCGGGGGACCGUAAGGCCUCGCGCGAUUAGAGCGGCCGAUGGCUGAUUAGCUUGUUGGUGAGGUAAAAGCUAACCAAGGCGAUGAUCAGUAGCUGGGCUGAGAGGACGAUCAGCCACACUGGGACUUAGACACGGCCCAGACUCCUACGGGAGGCAGCAGUGGGGAAUUUUGGACAAUGGGGGCAACCCUGAUCCAGCAAUGCCGCGUGAGUGAAGAAGGCCUUCGGGUUGUAAAGCUCUUUUGUCAGGGAAGAAACAGCAGCUCUAACACAGUCUGCGAAUGACGGUACCUGAAGAAUAAGCACCGGCUAACUACGUGCCAGCCGCCGCCGUAA
rnacentral:rRNA from 1 species